AAUCCUGGUAGUCAUUGCUGUUGUUGCAUUUAUAUAUUUCAAAAGAAUCAAAGGGAAAAAUACAAAUGGAGACAACGAAGAAAUAAAAAGGAAGGAGAAAGGCUUUGGGGAGGAAGUUGAACUUUAUGAAAAAGACUGAAAAAGAAGACUAUUAUAAUGCAUACAAUUAAUGCAUCAGUAUAUUUUGUGUAGCUAGUUUUUAGGCCUUAUUUUGAGAAUACUUUUCAUAUGUUUUUAGUUGUUGUAGCUGAGAUUCAAUUUCAAAAUAAAUUUUUCAAACUAA